CAUGCGGUGGGAAGGCACCGCGCACGGGGGCUGGAGCCGCUCCGCGCCUGGCGGGGAGACAGCUGGGCCUCCUCCGGACCAGCAGAACGGGGCUGACUCAGCUGCCGGUGCUGCAGAGCCGCGCGUGGGGCUCCACGUGCCCCCACAGCCCGCGGGCUCGGCCCCCCGGGCCCAGGUGAGCAUCUCGGCCCAGGUGAGCAUCUUGAACCCAGGUGAACAUCCUGGCCCAGGUGAGCAUCCCAGGCCAGGUGAGCAUCCUGAACCCAGGUGAGCAUCUUGAACCCAGGUGAGCACUCGGGCCAGGUGAGCAUCCCAGCCCAGGUGAACAUAUUGGCCCAGGUGAGCAUCCCGGACCCAGGUGAGCAUCCUGAACCCAGGUGAGCAUCUUGAACCCAGGUGAGCACUUGGGCCCCGGGGCUCUGGCAGCGUCCCGAGGGGCCGGGAGCAGUGCCGGGAAGCUCUCGGCAGGCAGCAGCUCUGCCAAAGGCAUUCCCAGCUUGGCACGGGACCUGUUCCCCAGGCAAGAAGAGGCACGAAGCCGCUGACACGUUUCUUCCUGUUCCCAUUGAAAACUGCGUCGGAGCAAGGCUGACAGAAAUCAUGUGCUGGGUUUAACAGAUUUCUCCCCAGAAUGAGGCUUCGGCUCAGAAGGGGAGGAUGGAAGGGUUUAAAAAAUUAAUACAGGAUCCUGUUUGCCUGAGAGUACUGUCACAGCACAUUCAGCCAGGCUGCCAGGUCCCUCGCUGGCUCCUCCUGGCCUGCAGGAGUCUGAGCUGGUGCCCCUUGGACAGCAGCGGUUUGGUUUGUGUGGUCAUUAAUAUCCACUGCAUCGGGAAAGGAUUUGCAAAUCAAGUACCAGAAAAUGUUGCCCAUCUGUUGUGAGUGGGAACCUUCAAACUGCAGCAUCACAAACUAUCGCCCAGGACUGAGGGGAGAAAAAAAGGAGGGAAGAAAAGAAAACGGGUUGGAAGUAUGUCCCUUCCUGCUGUGUGUCUGGCUGGCUGCAGGCUGGAAGGGAGGGGGCAGCGCUGGCCCCGAGCAGCCCCAGCUCUCGGGGGCUCACAGCUGCCCUGCUCACCCUGCCAGCGAGCCGGGGUGCAGGAACCAGGGCUGGCUGCCCUGCUCACCCUGCCAGCGAGCCGGGCUGGCUCAGGCUGCGGGAUGGCAGCAGGGCAGCCCCGCGGGCCCAGCAGCGGGCGCUGGGCACAGCCCUGUCUCCCUGCCCGUGAAGAACGAGGGGUUCUGCCGGCACCUGCCGAGCAGCGUGUGGGAACUCGUGGCUGGAUUACGCUUUUGCUGCCCUGGGAGCAACGUGAUGACUGAAUUCCCGAGCAAAAAAACAGAUUGGGAAACAGAAGAUUGCUCAAUGCACCUGCUGGUGAGUCAGAAGGCACAGACCCGGCACAGGGGUACCCGGAGGCAGCAGGGAAUGACCCUGGGGGGACCAGCCCCUCACUCUGGCAGAGAAUUGGCACUCCAGGCUUGGCUCUGGCCUGAGCCCAGCCUGAACAACUGCCGAGGGCAGGGAAUUCCCAGGCCACUGGGCUGGGCUUGGCACCCGAGUCCUGCAGCAUCCCCCAGCCCCAGCCUGCCCUGGUGGCACAGGCACGGCCAGCAAGGGGCCUGUCCCAGGCAGCUGGGGCUCACAGGAACGGGGGCUCAGCAGGUUCUCUAGGGAAGGUGUCUGGCACUGCCAGGCCAGUGUCCGUGUUUACCAACACCUGGCCACAGCAGGCUCCUCCAAAGGAAAAGGACACGGCUAAACCCCAUGAAAGGGCAGCCCAGACCCAGGGUGUGCAUCUCACAGCAGGGACACAGGUCCUCCAAACAGCGUGGAGACAUUCAGGAGAACAGACACAAAGUGACUGAUCCAGGUAUGGGGAGAGGUCAAUACAGACAGGCACGGGGACCCUCGAGAGGGAAUGUUGGUACAGGCUCAGGGACCCCCCAAAAGUUUUAUAGAGCAAGCUGGAUUUUGUGAAUUCCCUCCAGCUCUAUCCUGUGAGCUGCUCCUCUUUCCUCUCUAUCUGUGCAUCUAUUUUAGGAUGACGUUUUCACUUCAGCACAGAUGUUCAGAACUGGGUUUCAUGCAGUAACGAUAUGUUCACAUCAUUUUCCUUUUUGCACCAGAAACCACGAGCUGAGGAGCUGGAGCCAGCAGCAGCUGGCAGAGCUGGUAAGAGCCGCUCUGGGCUGUCUGCCCCCUUUGCUUAGGGCGCGGUGGCCACAGCCAGACCCCUCGGCCACCACGUGUCGGGGUGUCCCUGGCAGCAGCCCCGGCUGCGGCACCGCUGCCCCCCUCAGGGCAGAGCGGCCCCCAAAGCGCCCAAAGCUGCUGGACGAGGCUCUGCCCAGACCGAGCACCGGGCACGGAGGCGAGGGCCGGCAUCGGGAGAAGAGUGCGGCAGCGGGAGGGAAGGACCAGCGGAGCCCCUCCAGGCCAGGGGGCUCCGCGCCCCGCACUGCCCGAGGCACAGCCCUGGCAGCUCCGCCGGGAUUUGCCAGCGAGCACAGGGACCUCGGGAGCUGCCCUGCCGCUGCCCCGGCUCCGACCUGCACACGGAGAGCUCCGGAUCCCUCCAGCCCCUCCCUUCCCCGGGAUGAGCCCCCCCAAAUGCUCACCACUCAUCCCCCCACCAGCCCCUGCGCCAUUCUCCGCACUCCCUGCUGUCUCCUGCCUCCCGUGCCCCGCAGCUGGUGCUGGCAGGUCGCUGAGGCUGUGGCACGGGGCGCUGGGGGCUGUGCCAGCCUGCCGGCCCCGCGCUGUGUGCAUCCCAGACACGCCGUGGGCACAGCUGAGCCCGUCCCAGCACCUCUGCCCAUGCCAGGGCUGUGCCCGGUGCCAGGGCAUCGUGCCACCCGCAGCUGGGACCACAGACAGGGCUCCUUUUGGGCAGGAAAUAUGCUCUUUUGAGAAUUCCAACUAAUAUCUGGAUACAUAAACACCCUCAGAAUUAUUCUGCUUCUUUCUUCCUGCAACUAUUUCCUGCCCAGGGAGCAGAGGUGAUUAGAACUCUUCCCCAGGCUCCUGUUCCUCCCUUCCUGAAGGCCCAGAAUCCUCCCCAGUUCAGAAAAGCCUCCCAGCUGCAGACACAGGAGAUCCUUGGAACAAAAUUCUAUUAUUUUGCUUUUCACAACUGAUACAGUUGUCAUUGCUGCUCCCGUGGUUGUCGUUGUCUGGCUCUGGCCAGCGAGGUGCCACAUCCCAGAGGGGUGGCAGGGACAGCGAGGUGCCACAUCCCAGAGGGGUGGCAGGGACAGCGAGGUGCCACAUCCCAGAGGGGUGUCACAGCUUUGGCAGCAGCUCCUUCUGGCGGCUCUGCUCGGCACCCGAGCUGCUGAAUCGUCCCUGCAGCGACAGCCCCGGGCAGAGCUGCUGCUCCUCCCGGCCCGGCCCGCAGAGCCGCCCAGGACACAGCCGGCCCCAAGGCACGGAGCCCGGGAGCCACCGAGCCGCUGUCGAAGCCACAGAGGAAAAUCGAGCUGGGUUCUUUUUGCCAGUUCUGAACACCGGCACUGCUCAGCACGUUGUUUUUCCCUUGGCAGCUAAAUUGGGGAUAAAUGAAGUGCUGGUGCCAUCCUGAGCAUGGGACCAAGGCAGUGCAGGGGACUGGGUGCUCGGCCAGCAGGAAUGGGUGUCCAGGUGUGCUGAGCUGGGAAACGGGGCCGAUACACCUGUCUGGGAAAGGCCAGCUGGGGUCACAGGAGACACCCGGAAUCCCCCUGGAAAACAACUGCCCUGAGGUGUUUCCUUCAAUCAACUAAAGUUGUGAUGUUGUGAUCAAAAAUUCUGAUUACCAGUAAUUUGUGGGAAAGCGAGGGAGGAACUGCAACACGUGGCAACAGAGCUCCCUCUAAUGUCAGCCGCUGCCGGGCUGCACCCGCUCCCUGCUGCCCCAUUCCCUCACCUCCCUUCCAGUUCCCUUUAUUCCCUGCGCCUCCAUUCCCCGCACCUCCAGGUUUCUUCUCCCUGUUCCUUGCCCCCUGGUGCCACACUCCCCUCACUCCCUUCACUCUGAAUUCCCUGCACCCCCAGCUCCCUGUUCUCCAAUUCCCUGAGGCUCCAGCUCCCUGUGCCCCCAUUCCCCACUCCCCUCAUUCCCCGCAGGGAGGGCCUGGGGGUCCCAGUGUGUCCCUGAACCUCAGAGGUGUUGCCACAGGAAGAUAACAACAGUGGGGGCCGAUCCAGAGAUCCUGGUGCUUUGCAUUUACCCCCAGGCUCUAACAGGAAUAUCCUCAUUUUAAUACACAUCCUGUGGAUGGAACGUGCUGGUGCAGAGAAGCCCCAGGACCAAAUAAAUUGUGGGCAGUCCCACAAGUGCUCAGACACGUUCAAGCCCACGUAACGCAGCGGAGCCUUUUAACCUGGCGGAGGAAAAGAUAAUGAAGAAAGAGAACUUGCAUUAGGGCAAUUUCACUUUAUUUUUUCCAUACAGCAAGGUCAACUAUAGCAGUAAUAAUAAAAUAAGCAUAAACCCAAAUUGCAGCCCAGGACAGAGUACGUAACUGGAGCAACUACAAGCAAAGUAAGUCUGUGGUUACGUAAGAGCAAACCCAAGCGCGCCCGUCCUUCCAGCAGAUGAGCCGGGGGCUGCCGAGCGCAGCUCGUUAAUUCAUUAAUUACUGAUUGGUGUCAGCUCCCAGCCCCACGCCUGCUCCCAGCUUUGGAUGGCCGGGCUCCUGCAGCGCUUUCCGUGAAAAGGGAAGAUCUCCCAGGUUGUUUCUCACCUGCUAAAAGAACAGGACCACUACAGCGAGAAAAGAAUCCCCUACCUACAGCUACGGGUGCUGUUCCGUUUGCCUGUCCAUGGUUGAACUCUGUGAAUGUCAGUAUUUGUUUUGAAGAAUCUUUUUUUGUGAACAAGAAACCACUGAAAUUGUCAGAAACUGGUUUGAAUAGCAUAUAUCUUUAAUAUAUUUUGAUACUUUAAACAUGCAGUAGAUUUUGAAUAAUGUACGGAAUAUCUGAGCCAUGAUUCCCUGGAUGGGCUGAAGUACCUGCUUUUUUUUUUUUGGUUUUUUUUUUUUUUUUUCCUUUUUUU